UCACUGUGAUGAUUGUUUCCAACAUUCGCAGUUUCCACCAAAAAGGUUCUCCUUAGUGAUGGCUAAACCUUCCUUGGAUGUCUGAGUGA
rnacentral:snoRNA from 1 species